rnacentral:rRNA from 1 species
GACGAACGCUGGCGGCGUGCCUAAUACAUGCAAGUAGAACGCUGAAGGAGGAGCUUGCUCUUCUGGAUGAGUUGCGAACGGGUGAGUAACGCGUAGGUAACCUGCCUUGUAGCGGGGGAUAACUAUUGGAAACGAUAGCUAAUACCGCAUAACAGUAGAUGUUGCAUGACAUUUGCUUAAAAGUUGCAAUUGCAUCACUACCAGAUGGACCUGCGUUGUAUUAGCUAGUUGGUGAGGUAACGGCUCACCAAGGCGACGAUACAUAGCCGACCUGAGAGGGUGAUCGGCCACACUGGGACUGAGACACGGCCCAGACUCCUACGGGAGGCAGCAGUAGGGAAUCUUCGGCAAUGGACGGAAGUCUGACCGAGCAACGCCGCGUGAGGGAAGAAGGGUUUCGGAUCGUAAAGCUCUGUUGUAAGAGAAGAACGAGUGUGAGAGUGGAAAGUUCACACUGUGACGGUAUCUUACCAGAAAGGGACGGCUAACUACGUG